rnacentral:rRNA from 1 species
GACGUAGGGUGCGAGCGUGUCCGGAUUUAUUGGGCGUAAAGAGCUCGUAGGCGGCUCGUCGCGUCGACCGUGAAAACCCGCGGCUUAACUGCGGGCUUGCGGUUGAUACGGGCGGGCUAGAGUUCGGUAGGGGAGACUGGAAUUCCUGGUGUAGCGGUGAAAUGCGUAGAUAUCUGAAGGAACAUCAGUGGCGAAAGCGGCAUCCUGGACCGGCAUUGACGCUGAGGCGCGAAAGCCAGGGGAGCAAAGCGGG